UACGAAGGGGGCUAGCGUUGUUCGGAAUUACUGGGCGUAAAGCGCACGUAGGCGGAUAUUUAAGUCAGGGGUGAAAUCCCGCAGCUCAACUGCGGAACUGCCUUUGAUACUGGGUAUCUUGAGUAUGGAAGAGGUAAGUGGAAUUCCGAGUGUAGAGGUGAAAUUCGUAGAUAUUCGGAGGAACACCAGUGGCGAAGGCGGCCUACUGGUCCAUUACUGACGCUGAGGUGCGAAAGCGUGGGGAGUACACUGG
rnacentral:rRNA from 1 species